GGAAACGGCGCUAAUUCCGCAUACGUCCUGAGGGAGAAAGUGGGGGACUUCGGACCUCACGCUAUCAGAUGAGCCUAGGUCGGAUUAGCUAGUUGGUGGGGUAAAGGCCUACCAAGGCGACGAUCCGUAACUGGUCUGAGAGGAUGAUCAGUCACACUGGAACUGAGACACGGUCCAGACUCCUACGGGAGGCAGCAGUGGGGAAUAUUGGACAAUGGGCGAAAGUGUAUCCAGCCAUGCCGCGUGUGUGAAGAAGGUCUUCGGAUUGUAAAGCACUUUAAGUUGGGAGGAAGGGCAGUAAGGUAAUACCUUGCUGUUUUGACGUUACCAACAGAAUAAGCACCGGCUAACUUCGUGCCAGCAGCCGGGUAAUACGA
rnacentral:rRNA from 1 species